rnacentral:rRNA from 1 species
UGGGGAAUAUUGCACAAUGGGCGCAAGCCUGAUGCAGCCAUGCCGCGUGUGUGAAGAAGGCCUUCGGGUUGUAAAGCACUUUCAGCGAGGAGGAAGGUGGUGAGCUUAAUACGCUCAUCAAUUGACGUUACUCGCAGAAGAAGCACCGGCUAACUCCGUGCCAGCAGCCGCGGUAAUACGGAGGGUGCAAGCGUUAAUCGGAAUUACUGGGCGUAAAGCGCACGCAGGCGGUUUGUUAAGUCAGAUGUGAAAUCCCCGGGCUCAACCUGGGAACUGCAUUUGAAACUGGCAAGCUAGAGUCUCGUAGAGGGGGGUAGAAUUCCAGGUGUAGCGGUGAAAUGCGUAGAGAUCUGGAGGAAUACCGGUGGCGAAGGCGGCCCCCCUGGACGAAGACUGACGCUCAGGUGCGAAAGCGUGGGGCAGCAAACAGGAUUAGAUACCCUGGUAGUCCAGCGCUGUAAACGAUGUCGAUUUGGAGGUUGUGCCCUUGAGGCGUGGCUUCCGGAGCUAACGCGUUAAAUCGACCGCCUGGGGAGUACGGCCGCAAGGUUAAAACUC